AACUUCUCAUGUGACUGGGGACGAGAGUCCAGCCUUGCUGUAAAAAUGUGUGACAACAACAAGAAAACAAGGAUAUACAUCAUCACGCAUGUUCGUAUUGCCCGCCAUCUAUUUUACCGUUGCCCAGGUGUUUCGAGCGCCGCCAGGUGUUCUCCUCUCCAAUACGGACAUCCCAAACACCUUUGCUCUUCCAUGUUCCGGAAUCUUUUUGAUAAAUGACCGGACGUGGACAGCCGAGCCAAAACGCCGACGGAGACUUGAUUUUGAAGCUGAUGAGUUUCCGGAGUUCUUCAUUGGCUUCUUUGCCAUCUCCUGGUUCGUCAUCGUCAUCAUUUUUGCCCCUUUUGCCGGCCUUUUCGGCCUCUUUGGCCGCCGCCGUUUCGUUGAAACACGCAUGAAACUCUAAUAAUAGACGAUUGGACGUGUUGCGCAAAGGAAGAAACCCUUACGGAGAGCGACUGUCCAUUCGGAGAAGCGACGCGG